GUUGUACCAUAAAAUUAAUUUAUAUCUUUAUUUACAUAUUUCAAAUCAAAAUUUAGAAAGCUCUAAUUUUUAAAAUAUUAAAUUAGCUAAUAUUCUUUGAAAAAAAUAUGCUUACUUUGAUCCACCAUCAUCCACUUGUAUUAUUUUGUUUAAAUUUAAUGUUAAAGACAUCAAGCUAAAGUAUUAGAAAGGUUUUGUACCUUUGUUUUUUCUUAUCAUUUAUUGUUUUAUGUAAUUAAAAAGUAUAACAAUUGUAUUUAUCAUGAUCAAUUUAAUGGAGCAUAGAAAUCGCAGCUUUAAAAUAACUAAAAUUUCAAUCAUUACUGGGGUUUCAUAAUCUCUAGUUAUCAAUAUGAAUGUAAUUUUGAAGUCUAGAUCUCCUUAACUCUUUCUCUCCUAACUGACAAUAUGAAUAUUGAUUUGACCCCAUUAAAUUAAAUUAAUUUUUGGUUUUAUAAACUUUAAUUUGUUUUAUAUAAAAAGAGCAUUUAUUCUUCUAUAAUUUAUACCUAAUAUAACAUUUCCUGAUUACAUAACAAAAGUUAUUGAAAUUUAAUCAUAACAGGGUAAUGAAACACAAAUGAGUCAAAUGAAUAAUUCCAUUGGAAUGUGGAAUAUAAUUAUGGAGAGAAAGAGUUAAUUUCAUUUUUUAAUUAAUUACUAUCUAACAAAGUUGAUAAUUGCUAAUGAUUAAAAUAUUGUUACCUUGUGGUGCAUUCAUUAUCACUGCAAAAACUAUAAACAAUUAUUGAAUCAUAUAUUAAAUUUAACUAAAGAUGCAGGUCCAAGCAAUAUGUCCUAUAACAAGAUUUAUAUAGUAUUACACAUCAACUGAAAAGCAAAUUCUAAAUUUGAAUUAUCUUGUUUAGGUUUAAUAAACUUUGUCUAAAACAAUUCAAGAUAUACUAGAAGUGAAUUUAAACAUUCUCUGUAACUACUGUACAGCUGUGAAUGAUCAACUAAUUGUACUAUUUUUUUUCUUUUCUCUGUUUGUGAUGUGAGUUGUUUUGUUUUCUUUUGUUUCUGUAAAUAUUUAGCUAAUUAUUGCUUUAUGUCAUUAAAAUAAUGGCUGGUCAUAAGGAAGACAUAUUAUUUCAUGUGAAUGUUGUGGUGUGAAGUGCAGUUGAAGCUUGGUUUGUCAAGCAACAAAACAUGGCUUAUAUUGUGAUGUCAGUUAAUUUUGUUUAAUAUUUUUUUGACUAUUCUGUUUGUGAUGAAAAAAAAAGUUUUGUGUGAUUCAGGAAAGAUUUUUUUAUGAUAUUUAGGUAACAAUAAAUGAAAUAAUGUCUCUAAUGUUUACAGUUUGUGGUUUUGCUUUUUUUUUUUUUUUUUUUUUUUUUU